rnacentral:rRNA from 1 species
GACUGGGGGGCAAGUGUUCUUCGGAAUGACUGGGCGUAAAGGGCACGUAGGCGGUGAAUCGGGUUGAAAGUGAAAGUUGCCAAAAAGUGGUGGAAUGCUCUCGAAACCAAUUCACUUGAGUGAGACAGAGGAGAGUGGAAUUUCGUGUGUAGGGGUGAAAUCCGUAGAUCUACGAAGGAACGCCAAAAGCGAAGGCAGCUCUCUGGGUCGCUACCGACGUUGGGGUGCGAAAGCAUGGGGAGCGAACAGG